CCUACGGGAGACAGCAGUAGGGAAUAUUGCUCAAUGGGGGAAACCCUGAAGCAGCAACGCCGCGUGGAGGAUGCAGGUUUUAGGAUUGUAAACUCCUUUUGUGUGAGAAGAUAAUGACGGUAUCUCACGAAUAAGCACCGGCUAACUCCGUGCCCGCAGCCGCGGUAUUACGGGGGGUGCAAGCGUUACUCGGAAGCUCUGGGCGUAAAGCGUGCGCCGGCGGGCUUGUAAGUCAGAUGUGAAAUCCUGUAGCUUAACUACCGAACGGCAUUUGAAACUAUGAGUCUAGAGUGUGGGAGAGGUAGGUGGAAUUCUUGGUGUAGGGGUAAAAUCCGUAGAUAUCAAGAGGAAUACUCAUUGCGAAGGCGACCUACUGGAACAUUACUGACGCUCAUGCACGAAAGCGUGGGGAGCAAACAGGAUGAGAUACCCGAGUAGUC
rnacentral:rRNA from 1 species